AGUGAGACAACUGUCUGUUCUGUCCUGGUUUUGCUGUUAUUUUUACCAUUUUCUUUUACUACAUCUCCGAAAAAUCUGCAAGUCUUAGGGAACUGAAGAAAUUUUUUCAACAAGACACAGAGUCCAUGAUUUUACAACAGUGCUUUCUAGAGAUCACUUUGCUGGAAGUCCUGAAGUCCCUGACACUAAGAAAAAAGGCUCAUCAAGUGACUUGAGAUCACUGUGUCUGACUGGAGCAUAGAUGUUGUAUGAGGAGACACCCAGGGAUACAAUUUUCCUAAAUUUUCUUUGUGAACAGGCAGUUACCUUCCCAGCUGUCAAGAACCUCUAUGAAUAAAGCCACACAAAGUGUAA